AAAGAGGGUUAUUCUAUAAAAAGCUUCUAACUUUUUUAAAAAAGGUGAAAUUCCUUUUACUCUUUA
rnacentral:tRNA from 1 species